rnacentral:lncRNA from 1 species
AGAAACCAAAUGAUUAAAUCUUUACUGGCUUUGUGUUCUAGUGGGAAUAUAUGCCAAAUUUUAAUUCUAAACUUAGACAACUCGUUGUUGUUUUUUUUAUUGGAUGUUUUUGUUCCAUAUCUGAAAGUUUAUAUUGACGAAGCAAUUUUUAUUUUUUUUGAGAAAGGGCUAUAUAUUGACGAAGUUGAUAGUUUAGUAACAAUGCUUGAUUUUUAACCUCGUGUAGAGAGAGGUUAGAAUAAUGUGGCGGUGGACCACAAUGCGAAUGUAUAUAUUAAUGAGUUUUUUCUUCUUAUAAUUAUCUUAUUUUACAAUUAAAGAAAGCAUUGGUGCAAAACAUAAAAUUAUAUACCAAGUGGGGGCUGUCUGGUGAUAUUGAAAAUGAGAUUCAAUAUCAUUAGUUCAGCUCCAUAGGAGAGAGUUGAUUUAAGGCAACCAGGUCAAGACACAUAACCUUGUAUUAUACCAGGGAGGCCAAUGGUCCAAGUUACAAACGUCUUCAAACGCAUACAAAGGCUUUGGAGGCUAUUCAAAAAACUUGAAAGGGAUAACAGUAUUCAUACCAACGGGCUCGGCUCA